rnacentral:rRNA from 1 species
AACAUGUGGUUUAAUUCGAUGAUACGCGAGGAACCUUACCUGGGCUUAAAUGUAGAGUGCUAUUUUUUAGAGAUAGAAAUUCCCUUCGGGGCUUUUCUGCAAGGUGCUGCAUGGUUGUCGUCAGCUCGUGCCGUGAGGUGUCGGGUUAAGUCCCAUAACGAGCGCAACCCUUAUCGUUAGUUGCCAUCUGGUAAUGCAGGGGACUCUAGCGAAACUGCCACCGUAAGGUGAGAGGAAGGUGGGGAUGACGUCAAAUCAGCACGGCCCUUAUGUCCAGGGCUACACACGUGUUACAAUGGUCGGUACAGAGGGCAGCUACCUGGUGACAGGAUGCUAAUCUCGAAAACCGGUCUCAGUUCGGAUCGAAGUCUGCAACUCGACUUCGUGAAGUCGGAAUCGCUAGUAAUCGUGGAUCAGAAUGUCACGGUGAAUACGUUCCCGGGUCUU